GGGCCCGCACAAGCGGUGGAUUAUGUGGUUUAAUUCGAAGCAACGCGCAGAACCUUACCUAGGCUUGAAAUCCUUCGAAUCCCGAGUAAUGUUGGGAGUGCCCGCAAGGGAAUGAAGUGACAGGUGCUGCAUGGCUGUCGUCAGCUCGUGUUGUGAAAUGUUGGGUUAAGUCCCGCAACGAGCGCAACCCUUGUCCUUAGUUGCCAGCCUUAAGUUGGGCACUCUAAGGAGACUGCCGGUGACAAACCGGAGGAAGGUGGGGACGACGUCAAGUCAUCAUGGCCCUUACGUGUAGGGCUACACACGUGCUACAAUGGCAUUUACAGAGGGAAGCGAGACAGUGAUGUGGAGCGGACCCCUUAAAGAAUGUCGUAGUCCGGAUUGGAGUCUGCAACUCGACUCCAUGAAGUCGGAAUCGCUAGUAAUCG
rnacentral:rRNA from 1 species